rnacentral:sRNA from 1 species
CUCAACAGAACACAAACGGAUCUGUGUUCGGCGAUCCUGGUCGUGAGAGCGUCUUUCCCUUUGGGAAUCUCGUCUUUUUGCGUAUCGGUUGAUUGCUGGACAGUUCGACGACCACGGAGGCACUACUUUUCUUACAUUUGGUGUCAACAUUUUCCGGUCGACAGAUCUCAGAUCAAAUGUUGGCAUGGGGUGUUCACUCUGGUCUUGAGCUCCCUUUUGUUUUCGGACGAUUGGUGAGCUCGGCUGGAGAGCCUUGUGUCAACGGCGUCAUAUUCCUGUUCCCUUUACCGAUCAUGGCCGUCGGCUGAUGAGGUUAGGGAUAAACCAUGACUGGCCAACAUCA